rnacentral:rRNA from 1 species
ACGCUCGACACCUACGGGGGCAGCAGUGGGGAAUAUUGCACAAUGGGGGAAACCCUGAUGCAGCGACGCCGCGUGGAGGAAGAAGGUCUUCGAAUUGUAAACUCCUGUUGUUGGGGAAAAAGAGGAUGGUACCCAACAAGGAAGUGACGGCUAACUACGUGCCAGCAGCCGCGGUAAUCUGAGCGGGCUGGCAAGGC